AUUGAACGCUGGCGGCAGGCCUAACACAUGCAAGUCGAGCGGAUGAAGGGAGCUUGCUCCUGGAUUCAGCGGCGGACGGGUGAGUAAUGCCUAGGAAUCUGCCUGGUAGUGGGGGAUAACGUCCGGAAACGGGCGCUAAUACCGCAUACGUCCUGAGGGAGAAAGUGGGGGAUCUUCGGACCUCACGCUAUCAGAUGAGCCUAGGUCGGAUUAGCUAGUUGGUGGGGUAAAGGCCUACCAAGGCGACGAUCCGUAACUGGUCUGAGAGGAUGAUCAGUCACACUGGGAAUGAGAGACGGUGAAGACAACUACGGGAGGCAGCAGGGGGGAAGAGUGGAGAAUGGGCGCAGGUUUGAUACAGGUAUGACGCGGGAGGGAAGAAGGCCUUUGGAUUGUAAACUGCUUUUGCCUGAAAGGAAAAGGAUCUGGUUAAUACCGGGGGGUAAGGAGGGUAGGGUAAGAAUGAGCAACGGCUAACUACGUG
rnacentral:rRNA from 1 species